rnacentral:lncRNA from 1 species
ACCUAUAUUUGGCUCAGCACGGAAGCAAGUCCGAACUCAUUAAAAAGCUCGAGACACUUAAAAACCGGAAAUAAAAAUCUGAGCUCCCGAACUCAUUGAACAGAUGAGCUCACUAGUCGGACAGACUUGCAACAUGUGGACAACCAAGCAGAAUAAAGCUAAGUGUAGAAGAAAUAGUAGAGAGCUGAGCUCCCUAUAUAAAGAGGCCCACAAACGCAAAACACAUAAAAGGAUAAACGAAAGCAAAGGGCCGUGCUCCCAGCUCGAACUAGUGAGGCCGAG